rnacentral:rRNA from 1 species
GCGGCCUACCAUGCAAGUCGAGCGGAUGACGGGAGCUUGCUCCUUGAUUCAGCGGCGGACGGGUGAGUAAUGCCUAGGAAUCUGCCUGGUAGUGGGGGACAACGUUUCGAAAGGAACGCUAAUACCGCAUACGUCCUACGGGAGAAAGCAGGGGACCUUCGGGCCUUGCGCUAUCAGAUGAGCCUAGGUCGGAUUAGCUAGUUGGUGAGGUAAUGGCUCACCAAGGCGACGAUCCGUAACUGGUCUGAGAGGAUGAUCAGUCACACUGGAACUGAGACACGGUCCAGACUCCUACGGGAGGCAGCAGUGGGGAAUAUUGGACAAUGGGCGAAAGCCUGAUCCAGCCAUGCCGCGUGUGUGAAGAAGGUCUUCGGAUUGUAAAGCACUUUAAGUUGGGAGGAAGGGCAGUAAGUUAAUACCUUGCUGUUUUGACGUUACCGACAGAAUAAGCACCGGCUAACUCUGUGCCAGCAGCCGCGGUAAUACAGAGGGUGCAAGCGUUAAUCGGAAUUACUGGGCGUAAAGCGCGCGUAGGUGGUUCGUUAAGUUGGAUGUGAAAGCCCCGGGCUCAACCUGGGAACUGCAUCCAA